GACGUAGGGCGCGAGCGUUGUUCGGAAUUACUGGGCGUAAAGGGCGCGUAGGCGGUACUUCAAGUCAGGCGUGAAAGCCCCGGGCUCAACCUGGGAACCGCGCUUGAGACUGGAGAACUAGAGUUCGGGAGAGGAUGGUGGAAUUCCCAGUGUAGAGGUGAAAUUCGUAGAUAUUGGGAAGAACACCGAUGGCGAAGGCAGCCAUCUGGACCGACACUGACGCUGAGGCGCGAAAGCGUGGGGAGCAAACAGG
rnacentral:rRNA from 1 species